rnacentral:lncRNA from 1 species
GGAGGAGUUAUUAGUUGAACCAGGUCUAUGGUGGACCAUCCAACCAGAAAGCAAUAUGUACAAUUGCAAUUCCUUUUCUCUCCUCAGCAACACAUGCUAGUUGGGUGGUCCACGGUGGAUCUGGUCCAACUGAAAAUAUCUUCUUAAAAUGGUUGUUAAAUCUCAGUUUCCAGAAGGACAAGAUCUUUGCAAUAGUUAACCGUUAAUUGUAAAGGGCAGAGGGACGGGAGUGGAGGAA